GCUGGAAGCAAACCUGCUCCCUCGGUAGCUCUACCUUCCUGACCAAUUUCCAACCGCAGUUCCUGUUCUGAACCCGGAUCUGCAAAUAAGAGCAUUCAUUGGAAGGGAGGUUCAGGGCCUUUGGGAUUUCAUCAGCUGCCAUCUCUCCCAGGAGACUCGGUGACACCCGUCAAGCCAGUGACCAAGGCCAGAAGGCAAGCGGUUCAAGGCCUACCGCCAGGCAACUUCCUUUUGAGUUUUGAAGCCAAGCAGUACACAUCUAAAGAAAUGCCAAGGAGGAAAUAUGGAUUUAUUGUUGCCAAGCCAAUUGGGCUGCAGAGAGAAGAAUAAUACUGAAAGGUCCGCCUUCUGGUUGUGCAAAGCGAAGAGGAGGACAGGGGCAGGGAGCAAGCUUGGGUUCCAUCUCA
rnacentral:lncRNA from 1 species